rnacentral:misc_RNA from 1 species
GACGGAGGGUGCAAGCGUUGUUCGGAAUCAUUGGGCGUAAAGGGCGCGCAGGCGGCCUUCCAAGACUGGGGUGAAAGCCCGGGGCUCAACUCCGGAAGCGCACCGGAAACUGGAUGGCUUGAGUCCGAGAGGGGACCGUGGAAUUCCUGGUGUAGGGGUGAAAUCCGUAGAGAUCAGGAGGAACACCGGAGGUGAAAACGACGGUCUGGAUCGGAACUGACGCUGAGGCGCGAAAGCGCGGGUAGCGAACAGG